rnacentral:rRNA from 1 species
UAUGGGAACUAUACUAGCGUUGUCCCACCCGAUCCCAUUUCGAACUCGGAAGUGAAAUGCGCUAAGGCCGAUGAUAGUGGGUUUUUCCUGCGAAAGUAGGUAGUUCCCGUGA